rnacentral:lncRNA from 1 species
UUUUCAUAUUCUUUUCCUUUUUUUUGUCUUCUUGCAUUAAUUUGAGUCGUGGCGCUCUUGUCCUCCAACGAUAGUAUCCUGUCGAAGCUCUUUCCUACCGGAGGGUGUUCCCUUGAAGUUGAUGAUACGAGAUCUCCAAAGAAAAAUUCAUCAGUUGAUAAAAAAAUCCAAGAAGCUGAAAGAUGAACUUUGCUGGCUGAAGGAGAGCCACUCAGAGGCCAUCACGGAGGCUACUCGCUUUCGGGACCUCCACAAGAAAAGUUUCAUGGAAUACACCAAAAGGAAAGCUGACUUCCUUAUGGA